rnacentral:rRNA from 1 species
CAAUAGCGUAUACUAAAGUUGUUGCGAUUAAAAAGCUCGUAGUUGGAUCUCAGGCAUGGGCGCACGGUCCGCCUCGCGGCGGUCACUGUGUGUUUUGUUUCCCAUCCUACGCUUCCCGGUUAUCAGCCCAUGGUGCUCUUCACUGAGCGUUUUGGGUGGCCGGAACGUUUACUUUGAAGAAAUUAGAGUGUUCAAAGCAGGCACGUCGCCUGAAUAAUGGUGCAUGGAAUAAUGGAAUAGGACCUCGGUUCUAUUUUGCUGGUUUUCGGAACACGAGGUAAUGAUUAAGAGGGACAGACGGGGGCAUCCGUAUUGCGGUGUUAGAGGUGAAAUUCUUGGAUCAUCGCAAGACGAGCAACUGCGAAAGCAUUUGCCAAGCAUGUUUUCAUUAG